rnacentral:piRNA from 1 species
UGUGUCCUUGGGCCUUGCUUUCAGAAGU